UUUUCCAAUAGGGAACACUGUAAACUGAAAGAGUUGCAUACUUCUUCACCCAGCACGGUCACUGAGCUGGCAAGCUAAAGUUAGCUAGUGAGUCACAGAAAUGUACGUUCAGUCUGUUAAUUAUUUCAGUCCGAUUGGACUUAUCCUACUCAAAUCAACAUGGCUCAACAUAGUUUUUUCGUUUUUGACCUCGACAUUCUUGUUGGAUAGAUACUUUGAUAGCUAACAUGUGGGCUAAUCUCCUUUGGAUGCCUCCAUCUAGUUCCCUAGAGCAGCAGACCGGCCCUCCAUUCCCAAACCUGAAGCCCCCUGUCCCCAGCAGGAAAUACCAAGAAAAACUUCCUAUUGAGGAAAUGUAAGAUAACUAACUCAAUGUCAUAUUUAGAUUUAGAGUUACUGACAUGAACAGAAGCAUAUACAAGCAAUCAAUCAAAUGUAUAUUAUAAAGCCCCUUUUACAUCAGCAGUUGUCACCAAGUCCUUAUACAGAUACCCAGCCUAAAACCCCAAAGAGCAAGCAAUGCAGAUGCAUAAGCACAGUGGCUAGGAAAAACUCCCUAGAAAGGCAGGAACCUAGGAAGAAACCUAGAGAGGAACCGGGUUCUGGGGGGUGGCCAGUCCUGUUCUGGCUGUGCUAGUGGAGGUUAUAAAACAGUACAGUGUUUUAGGCCAGAUCGUUCUUCAAGAUCGUUCAAGGUCCUGCAGCCUUUAUUUAAUUGUUGUAGACUAAGCCCUAGAGGUUUUAUAACGUCACAGGAUUUAGCGUACUUGUCAAUCCAGAUCUGAAUAUUUGAUAUCCUUUUUACUGUACACUGUUUUUUUUCUCCUAAGCUAAUCACUGAAUGUCCUACUACAAGGAUGUGGUCAGGUUGACACACUUAUGAGCCACAAUAACACAGAUCACACACACCAGAGAUUGCGAGGGCAAGUACAAUGAUCAGUUGGGAAAUUGAAGUCUGCUGCAUGGUUGCCCCACAUACACACACACUUAAUUUAGGUUAGUGUGUAGUCAAGGCUUUAUAGUUAAAAUAAUAUAGUGUCUAUCUUUCAGAUCUGUCAACCAGGUUCGGUGGGUGACAGGUAAGCGUGUUUCCACAAAGAUGUUCCAGACCUGGAGUGGCACGCUGGAACUUCCAGAGGCUUGUAGACCUGAAGCAGUGUGAGAUCUGACACCCCUACUAGCUCAACCACAGUUCUCACAGCUGCAGUCGUCUGCUCCUGCACCUGCUACACCGGCCACGACAGGUGAUUCAGAUCUGCCACCCCCAGCAGUCCUCUGCUGUGGUAUUUAAUUUACCGGCUACACCGGUUCCUACUACAUUGGCCGCGAAGGGAGAAUCUUUUGAGGAUUCCCAGAUGGAUACAGAUCUGCCAUGCACUCCACCACUACCCCAGACAGCCUCACCCAGAAGUGCAUGCACCGGGCCUAUCACAAAGCAGAGAUGGGUGGCUGACAAGGAAAAAUAAAAUAUAACAUGCACACACACUCUCUCUCUGUUACACACACAUUAUCCCCAAUGUAAAUAAAUUGUAAUUAUUUUAUUUUAGGAUUGGAGAUAUCUUACGCCUACAUAUCCAUUAUCAAUAGCUACAUAAUUACUCUAUCCAAUCAAAGUGUGAUUGAUAAUAUCCCACCCCACAAAAGUACGUGAAUAUGUAAAUACAUAGUAAUAACUCGUUUAUUUUAUGUUUGCUCCAUUUUAUUUGAGGAAAAUGUCUGCAAUAAAGUACAUUCACAUAAA